AGCUGAAGUGCUUGGAGGACACAUAGGAUGGAUGGUAACCUCCUCCUCCCUGAGAGCUGCUGUAUAUGGUGGGACUCAGAGGUGCUUGGAAAAGCUGAGGAUGAUCCCUUGCAAUUGCUGCAAGAGAGAAUCAGGAUAACAGAUUCACGAGCCAGCACAUCUCCGACCAGCCAGGCACUGUGGUAAUCUGUUUGGUGCCACACUGGCGUUACAUCACCUGGAAUAGCAGGAAUAAACUCACACAUGGCAUUCCAGA